UUCUUUUUUAUUGUUUUUUUUUUCUUUUUCUUUCUUUUUCUCUCUUUUUUCUUUCUCCUUUCUUCUUCUUCUUCCCUUUACUUUUUCUUUCCGUUGAGCCCAGCCUCCGCUUCUCCUCCAUUGUCCACUGCCACCGUCGACUCCUCCGUUCGGUGGUGCUAGUCUCGGCGUUCUCUCCUCUUCUUUUCUCCUCCCUUUUUCUCUUCUUUCUCUUAUCUUCUCCCUUUGGCUUUCUCUCUUUUCUUCUCUUCUCCCCUUUCUUUUUCUUUCUCUUUCGAAAGCCCGGAAAUUAGAAGCGACGCCGCCCCUCCAAUCCGCCGUUCGUUACUCGAUCCUCCUCCGCCUUAAGUGGCCGUGGUAAAGGGUGGCAGAGGAGCCAUGAUGGCCUAGGGGGGCUGCUGGAGUAGCUCGGCUGGGAGGGGUACGCUCGGCUGCUGCAGCGGCGAUUAGACAAGUCCGGAAGGACUAAAUUGCAUAGGAUGCAAAGCUUCUGGGGCAAAAGUGUAAUUUUAGGAAAAUAUAGGGCUAAAGGGUAAUUUCUAGAAACUUUAGGGGUUAAAGUGAAAUUUUGAGAAAGUUUAAGGGUUGAAAUGUAAUUUUAGAAAAGUUUAGGGUUAAAAUGUAAAUUUUGAAAAGUAUAGGGGUCAAAAUGCAAUUUUUUUAAUUUUUUUUAACACGAAAUUAUUCCCGGACAAAAUUCAGUGAUUACAGAACAUUUCAUUUAUUAAUUUUUAGAAAAAAAUCUUUAUCUCAAGAAA